UCCAGACUCCUACGGGAGGCAGCAGUGAGGAAUAUUGGUCAAUGGACGAGAGUCUGAACCAGCCAAGUAGCGUGAAGGAUGACUGCCCUAUGGGUUGUAAACUUCUUUUGUCGGGGAACAAAGGCGCCCACGGGUGGGCGGAUGAGUGUACCCGAAGAAAAAGCAUCGGCUAACUCCGUGCCAGCAGCCGCGGUAAUACGGAGGAUGCGAGCGUUAUCCGGAUUUAUUGGGUUUAAAGGGUGCGUAGGCGGACAGUCAAGUCAGCGGUAAAAAUGCGGUGCUCAACGCCGUACAGCCGUUGAAACUGGCAGUCUUGAGUGGGCGAGAAGUAUGCGGAAUGCGUGGUGUAGCGGUGAAAUGCAUAGAUAUCACGCAGAACUCCGAUUGCGAAGGCAGCAUACCGGCGCCCGACUGACGCUGAGGCACGAAAGCGUGGGUAUCGAACAGGAUUAGAUACCCUCGUA
rnacentral:rRNA from 1 species